rnacentral:tRNA from 1 species
GUGGCUCAGUGGUAGAGCACUUGCCUAGCAUGUAUGAGGCACUGGGUUCGAUUCUCAGC